rnacentral:rRNA from 1 species
UACGUAGGGUGCAAGCGUUAAUCGGAAUUACUGGGCGUAAAGCGUGCGCAGGCGGUUAUGUAAGACAGAUGUGAAAUCCCCGGGCUCAACCUGGGAACUGCAUUUGUGACUGCAUAGCUAGAGUACGGUAGAGGGGGAUGGAAUUCCGCGUGUAGCAGUGAAAUGCGUAGAUAUCGGGAGGAACACCAGUGGCGAAGGCGACUACCUGGCCUGUUCUUGACGCUGAGGCGCGAAAGCUAGGGGAGCAAACGGG